GAUGAACGCUGGCGGCGUGCCUAAUACAUGCAAGUCGAGCGAACAGACGAGGAGCUUGCUCCUCUGACGUUAGCGGCGGACGGGUGAGUAACACGUGGAUAACCUACCUAUAAGACUGGGAUAACUUCGGGAAACCGGAGCUAAUACCGGAUAAUAUAUUGAACCGCAUGGUUCAAUAGUGAAAGACGGUUUUGCUGUCACUUAUAGAUGGAUCCGCGCCGCAUUAGCUAGUUGGUAAGGUAACGGCUUACCAAGGCAACGAUGCGUAGCCGACCUGGGAGGGUGAUCGGCCACACUGGAACUGAGACACGGCCCAGACUCCUACGGGAGGCAGCAGUAGGGAAUCUUCCGCAAUGGGCGAAAGCCUGACGGAGCAACGCCGCGUGAGUGAUGAAGGUCUUCGGAUCGUAAAACUCUGUUAUUAGGGAAGAACAAAUGUGUAAGUAACUAUGCACGUCUUGACGGUACCUAAUCAGAAAGCCACGGCUAACUACGUG
rnacentral:rRNA from 1 species